UACGAAGGGGGCUAGCGUUGCUCGGAGUCACUGGGCGUAAAGGGUGCGUAGGCGGUCGGGUAAGUCUGACGUGAAAUCUUCAAGCUCAACUUGGAAACUGCGUCCGAUACUAUUCGGCUAGAGGAAUGGAGGGGAGACUGGAAUACUUGGUGUAGCAGUGAAAUGCGUAGAUAUCAAGUGGAACACCAGUGGCGAAGGCGAGUCUCUGGACAUUUCCUGACGCUGAGGCACGAAAGCCAGGGGAGCAAACGGG
rnacentral:rRNA from 1 species